AAAUGUUAAAAAGGAAUAGCUUAUUUAUUUUAAUAAAACAUGCAAAAAAUAAAAAUAAAUAAAAGGGAUAGUUGGCUCUGUUUUAUUUAUGCUCGUAUAUCUCUUUUAUUUUUUAAAAACAGAAUAUAAUAGGUACAAGAGGUUGAGCAUGUAAACGAUGUCGUAAAGAUGUUUUUGGGUAAAAAAAGGGUCAUUAAUAAUAAUUUUAAUCAUGAUGAAUUUCCUUGGAAAUUAGACAUUCAUCUGCCACUGUUUGACAUGUUGCUGUGUUGAUAAAAAUUCAUUUAAGGACAAUUGAUACGUUUUAGAAAUGAAAAUGUUUAUUGCACAAACAAAAAUAUAAUGAAAAUGUUUAUUGCACAAACACAAAAUAAAUGCAAAAAAAAGAAAAAAUCAUUGAAAACUUAGAGAAAGCAGGUAACACAUUUCAUUUAAUUAUUAAAUGUAAUACUAUUGCACGGAUACUAAAAAAUUUAUCAACAUAUGCUAUAUUACUCAAUUCCAACAUAUUAGAAGAACAUGUUGAUCUGCUUCUUAUAUAUCUCUCUACUCAAAGAAUGUGGAAGCUAAAUAACUUAAAAAAAACACUGCA